CAAGGCCUCUAAAGUUUAUGGUGUAUUGUGAAUGUCAGAUCCAUUCAUCAUAAUGUCAUCUGUGAGGUCAUCCAAUGUGAUGGUUUGUGGAAUGCCAAGACAAUCAAAAUCUCUGCAGAAUAAAUGUGAUAGAGAGCAGGAGGACUGACACAGCCUGAGGCAAAACUGAAAGUAUAUUGAUAUUCCUCACAGGUAAAUGCAAAUGUUGCUGGCAAUCCUUGCAAAUCAGUGAGGAAUAAAAUGCAGGCAACUAAAAUUAGGAGCCAGAUGGCCCAUUCAAUAUUUUCUGCCUGAAAAUCUCCUUAGCCAGAUCCACAGACUUAUCAGAAGGAAUGAAGGACCUUGUGUUAUUGUGGGACCCCACUUUCAGGUUGACCGGGGGUAUUACACUUCACAUACUGUUGACUUGGAGUUGGGCUGUCUAGAAGGUCUACAAUGGCUUCAUUUAUAUGGCUGUAAAUUGGUACUGGCUGCUGAUUGGAGGUUCAGCUGGAACAGGCAAAGGGGCUUCAGUUAUUCUCCAUGUGGUUGCUUAGGGUUUCUCACAACAUGGCAGAUAGGUUCCAAGAAGACAAGCCUCAAUAUGCAGGGACCUAUCAAGGCUUCCCUUGCGUCAAUCACUCUGCCUAACGUUGCAUCGGCCAAAGCUCAUCAUGUAGCCAAGCCCAGAAUCAAUACGUGAGAGGACUCAUAAGGAAACAAGUACUAAGGAGUAGUUUAUUGAGAGCCACCAAACUCUAUCGCAUCCUUCAUUUGGUUGAACAAAUGAUUUAGAGCACAACUGUCAUUAUAAAAGAAUCCGGUUAAUUAUAAGAUCAAAAAUCACUUUUAUAAAUUUUUAUUUUAUUUGAAAAAAUACCAUGGAACCUGUUUUAUGUUGUCCACGGUGACAUUUUGGUCUGCACGUUUUUUUUUUUUUUUUUGAGACGGAGCUUCACGCUUGUUACCCAGGCUGGAGUGCCAUGGCGUGAUCUCGGUUCACUGUAACCUCCACCUCCUGGGUUCAGGCAAUUCUCCUGCCUCAACCUCCUGAGUGGCUGGGAUUACAGGCACGCGCCACCAUGCCCAGCUAAUUUUUUUGUAUUUUUAGUAGAGACGGGGUUUCACCAUGUUGACCAGGAUGAUCUCGAUCUCUUGACCUCGUGAUCCACCCAAUUGGGCCUCCCAAAGUGCUGGGAUUACAGGCUUGAGCCACUGCGCCCGGCCUGGUCCACACUUUAAGUAGAUUUCAGUCGAGUGGCCUUUUCCUAGUAUCAAUUACCCUCAGAUAUAAAGAGGUCUUCUUGUAUUUUGUUUUUCAUUUCACUUUUAUACCUUGAGUCUCACUCUCAGGUCAAGAACACUUUGCAGAAAAGAAGUAACACAAAAAACAGAAUUUGGAUAUUGCUGGUUCCUGGAAAUAACACCAUCAAAAUAGCAGCAAACAUCAUCCUUCUUCCUGACAAAUAUCUUUUUUUAAAAAACUUGGCUGGGCACAGUGGCUCACACCUGUAAUCCCAGCACUUUGGGAGGCUGAGGUGGGAGGAUUGCUUGAGGCCAAGAAUUCAAGACCAGCCUGGGAAACAUAGAAAAACUCCAUCUCUACUGAAAAUACAAAAAUCAUCUGGGUGUGGUGGCAUGCACCUAUAAUCCCAGCUACUUGGGAGCCUGAGGGAGAAGAAUUGCUUGAACCUGAGAGGCAGAGGUUGCAGUGAGCUGAGAUUACACCACUGCACUCCAACCUGUGUGACAGAGUGAGACUCUGUCUCAAAAAUAAAUGCAAAUAAAUAAUUUUAAAAAUAAGAAAUUUCACUCUUUAAGAAGAAGUAACCGGUCACUCUCCCACCAGCUUUAUAACUAGGCAUUGAUAAUUAGGUGUGGCCUGAAAUUAUAUACAAUAGUACUUUCCUCAUCAUAUGUUAAUAACCUACAGCUUUUACAAACUGCUUUAGAUGGAGGAUUCUAAAGAAAUUAAUUCUAAAAAGCCUAGAGUCUUUACACGGAACAUUUUGAACAAAAGUGUAGUGAUUUUUGUUGUUGUUUGUUUUGUUUUCUUUUUUUUUUCUUUUUGAGAUGGAGUUUCGCUCUUGUUACCCAGGCUGGAGUGCAGUGGUGCAAUCUUAGCUCAAUGCAAACUCCGCCUCCCAAAGUACAGUUUUUAAACAGGGGUUUAAUUUUUUUCUUGGCUUUAUGUUUAAGCUUUAAAUGAAAGUUUAAAGAAUACGAGUAUUUCAUGUUUUAUAACACCGCAUGGUCUGCACUUAGCAUUGAAUACCUGGGAUAUGUCUUUUUCACAUAGCAAUAGGAAAGGCUUGAAGUGACUGAAAUCACUGAAAUUUAGGAAACACUCCACAUUCUCAUCUAACACUUGAUGAGACUACAGGCAUUUUUUUAAAAAAGAGAUUUAAAAUCCAGCCAAAAACCGUACAUGCUAACCAUUUUGUUCCCCCACCCAGAUUCUCAUUUUAAUCUCCUAACAGUCACAAUAAUAAGCUUUCCUUUUCCCACUCCAGCAUGAAUAUCAGAAGUAUUAUGAGUAAAACUCUGCAAUCAAAAUGCUUCCAUGGAGCCAGUGAUCUCAACAGAGCUGCCUGGGCCACCCCCAAGGGUGUUGUUAACCUCUUCUUCCAUUUCCUCCUCCUGAACAGAUCCGUCAUUUUACCAGACCUGAAAUUUCCUUUUCUUUCCCGUAUCUUCAUAAUAAAUUGAGCAAAG